CCCCCCCCCCCCCACACACACACACAAACUCCGCCGUCUUUUUCACCGGAGAAUCCUCACGUUCUUCGCCGGUGUUAUUCGUUUUUCUAGAGAUAAUUCAAUUACAAAUCCUUCUUUUAUUUGUGUAUUUCGAUUUGCGACUAUUCCGAAUCUUCAAAAAAACACCUUUUGUAUUUCAUGAUCUGGAAGAAUCUGAUCUGAUCUAAUCUGAGCCGUCGAUCUAAGCUAUGGAAAGGAUCGUCGGAGGUAAAUUCAAGCUUGGUCGUAAAAUCGGUAGUGGAUCGUUUGGUGAAAUUUUCCUCGCUACGCAUAUUGAUUCGUUUGAGAUCGUCGCCGUCAAAAUUGAGAAUAAUAAGACUAAACAUCCUCAACUUCUGUACGAGGCCAAGUUGUACAAUAUUCUCCAAGGAGGAAGUGGUAUACCACAUAUAAAAUGGUCUGGUGUGGAUGGUGAUGACAAUGUUCUGGUCAUGGAUUUGCUGGGUCCUAGUUUGGAAGAUCUCUUUGUCUACUGUGACCGGAAGCUCUCAUUGAAGACUGUUUUAAUGCUGGCUGACCAGAUGAUUACCAGAAUUGAAUAUGUACACUCUAAAGGCUUUCUACACAGGGAUAUUAAGCCUGACAACUUUCUGAUGGGUCUUGGUCGAAAAGCAAAUCAGGUUUAUAUUAUUGAUUUUGGUCUUGCUAAAAGAUAUCGUGAUGCGACUACAAAUCGCCAUAUUCCUUACAGAGAGAACAAAAAUUUAACGGGAACUGCACGUUAUGCCAGUUGUAAUACUCAUCUCGGAAUUGAGCAAAGCCGGCGGGAUGAUUUAGAAUCUCUUGGAUAUGUCCUACUUUAUUUCUUGAGAGGCAGCCUCCCAUGGCAGGGUCUAAAAGCUGCCACAAAGAAGCAAAAGUAUGACAAAAUAUGUCAAAAGAAGUUAUCAACUCCUAUUGAGGUUUUAUGCAAGUCUCAUCCCGUUGAGUUUGCUUCGUAUUUCCAUUACUGUCAUUCGUUGACAUUUGAUCAACGGCCUGAUUAUGGAUUUUUAAAGCGCCUAUUCCGUGAGCUUUUUACCCGUCAAGGAUAUGAAUUUGAUUACAUAUUUGAUUGGACCAUCCUAAAGUACCAACAGGCACAAACAAGUAAACCACAGCACCGGCAAGUUGUCGGUGAGAGCAGCCGGGCAAUUCCAAUGGAUGUUGAAAAGCGUCAAGUUUCUACCGGCAACAAUGGACCUUAUGUUGCUGAGGUGACUGAUCGCAUAAGACUGAACAAUCCUUCCAGUCCUGGAAUCCGUAUGCAAUUUAAGUCACCAACUAACAGGAAUUUAACUUCUGCCAAUCUUGAGAGAAAUGUACUAAGUAGUGCACACAUGCCAUCUACUUCAUUAGCUCCUGUUUUACCAAGAGCAAACGCCACAAAACCUGCAUUACCUGCUGAAACAACUCAUGAUGGUGAUAAUGGCAGCAGCUGGAUUUCCUCCUUGCGACGUAUUUCUUCUGCGAAGUGAUGAAAAGGAUUAAGAUGAAGGUGAGGCUAAUGUGCUGUCCAAUUGGGCAGCUCAUCCUUAUUCUCUGAUUACAAGCUUGUAUGGAUUAUUCGGGUGGCUGAUCAUGGCCCUGAUUUUCGCAAUUUCACAAGGUGAAGAGGGUGUGGACUGAGCUGGACAUGAGAGCAUAUGGCAGCAGCUGUUGGUCUUUUUUUGGGAGCUCGGGAUUUCCAUUUGAAGAUGAUAUGCUAUGAGAUGUGGUUUCAGUCAGAGUCAUGGCUUCCUUGGAUUAGAUCAAGUUCAGAAGAGCAGGAAGUAGUGAUUGCAUCGUUUCGUUGAUUGUGCGAUGGAUCUAGUAUGUAAUGGACAAGUAUCCACCAGCACCAUAUCAUUAAACAAAUCGAAUGGUUCCUUCAGCUGGCUGAUAACUCUGGGUACCUUGCUGCCUUAGCUUUUAUUCCUUCUCUCGAAUGUCUUGCGAAAGCUAGACUUGCUAGGCUCGAGAGGAAGUUACACUGACAAACUGUAUGCCUUCUCAAGUGUGAUCGGGUAAUAUCUGCUAUAACCAAGAAGCUUAUUGAAGCUGCAGAAGGGGAAAAACUAGGGUCCUCUUAAUUGGCUUGAACUGAAUCUCAGGUCCUUCUUGACUUGUCAGGACCUGGACUGGGAGCUUCAACAUCUAAAUUUUGUGCUGAUUUCAUUCUCAGCAAGGUUAUCCCCUGCUGUGCUGCUGCAGGAAUAAUUGAUUAGACAUUCAAGUCCUAGGAUAUAUAGAAAUCAAUAAGUGGCUAUGAGCGGUGAAAUCCUGUCUCGUUAUCUGCAUAACUGAGUAGUUUUUGCUUGGCCCCGCCACCCAUUUCUACAGUUUCAUCAUUUAUGUCUGUGUUUGCACCCUUGGUGCCGACAUGGUUUGUGCAGUGGUUUAAUAGGCAACUUAUAUCAUCGGUCUCCUGACCAGAGCCACUGGACUCUCUUUCAAGCGGCGUCUUUCCUGUUUCCAAUUCAUAGAUGCCUGCCUGUCUAUUCUACUUAGUUCGAUAUUUCAGCUGGAUCUUGGAAUUCUAACAGCGCUCGUGCUAUCCAAAGAGUGCUACUUCUGUUUUCUAAAUAUGGAAUCCUGACGUCUCCUAGUCUGUGAUGGCAUUCUAACAGACUAGAUUUGGGGGAAGCUAAUGCUCUGUGCUCCGACACUGUAGCUGAUCACGCCAUUAACGGCAAUGCAGGGUGAAAAUUUGUCAAUCUAUGAUAACGGUAUAGCUCUCUGCGAUGGCAUUUGUUUACCGUGAAAGUACCUUUUUUUGUUUAUAACUUCAGUAGGAGGACGAUUCUAUUUUUUUGCAUAAAACACAGGAUAAAACAUUUUGUUGAAUUUUUACAAAAAAUUUGAAAAAGGAAAUUUUGAAAUAAAAUUUUCACGUGUUCUUUUGAAGCAAGUACUCAUGUAUUCUCCUUUUAUCCAAUCUUUUUCUUUGUUUGACUACAAGAUUAUUCAGUUA